rnacentral:rRNA from 1 species
CCUACGGGAGGCAGCAGUGAGGAAUAUUGGUCAAUGGACGAGAGUCUGAACCAGCCAAGUAGCGUGAAGGAUGACUGCCCUAUGGGUUGUAAACUUCUUUUAUAUGGGAAUAAAAUGUUCCACGUGUGGGAUUUUGUAUGUACCAUAUGAAUAAGGAUCGUCUAACUCCGUGCCAGCAGCCGCAGUAAUACGGAGGAUCCGAGCGUUAUCCGGAUUUAUUGGGUUUAAAGGGAGCGUAGGUGGAUUGUUAAGUCAGUUGUGAAAGUUUGCGGCUCAACCGUAAAAUUGCAGUUGAAACUGGCAGUCUUGAGUACAGUAGAGGUGGGCGGAAUUCGUGGUGUAGCGGUGAAAUGCUUAGAUAUCACGAAGAACUCCGAUUGCGAAGGCAGUUCACUGGACUGCAACUGACACUGAGGCUCGAAAGUGUGGGUAUCAAACAGGAUUAGAUACCCGGGUAGUC